CUGUUUCGUCAUAGCUUAAGCUCUUCUUACUGGUCAAUCUUCCCCCGCGCCAAUUUUGUAAUUUUAUAAUCCUGUUAAUUUUUAAGCCAACACAAAUGGUUAACACCAACAGUUUACUUUUACUUGAUUGAAUCCCAUUAAAUUUAACUAAUCAAACCCAAUCAAUUUAAUCAACUAUUGAUGGUGGAAGAGGUGGAUGUUAAGGAAUCAGCAAUCAGAAUGUUUAUAAGAUUGUGAAUUUUUGGUUGAUUCAAGAAUGAAGGUGAACCUUGAAUAAUGGAUAUUCAAUAUAUUUUUGUUGGAAAGGGCUGAUUAGGUCCAAUAGACCUGAUUUUCUGUAACAGGAAAAGCUUCUAUAACCAUUAAUGGAUUACAUUGCUGUAAUGUAAAAAAGGCAUUCACAUGUGUCUGUUUGGCGUUGAAAAAUACUGUUAACUUAUUCAAGUGGAAAAGUCGCCUGAUUAUUAUUACAUUAUUUGAUGUCCAAAUAGAGCGAUGAUAAUAAUCAAUACACAUUUUGAUCAUUUAAUUGGCUACUUGAUUUGAAUUAAAUUAGCUAUCAUCAAUAUCAACCUCCAUCACAGUCAACACUCACACAAACACAUACAAGACUCACCAGGACGCUUUAGUUUCAUUAACAGGGAAAGUGCCCAACAAAACAAUGCUCACUGUUUGCUGCUUUUUAUACUCUUUACCUGUCAAUUAAUCAUUACUAUGGACCUGACUUUUUCCUUUCAAUCCUGAUUCCAGAUAAAAGAAUGCAUCAGCAUGAGUUCACCCUAAUCUGUUGGAAAUUUCAUCUGAUAAGCGUGAUUACCUGUCUUAACAAUGAAUGUUUUUGCCAAAGAACCACCACUUCUUGUUUUAUCCCUUCACACACUCAAAUAUUCAAGCCAAUACACCUCAUUAUACAAGAACUAAACUCAUCAAUCUGAUACGAAUUAGAUGUUAGGUGGAUCAUGUUAAAUGUUAUUUUUUUGUAAUGCCUGUAAAGAAAGGAAAGAUUUCACCUUGGAACGAACCAACAGAAAUAGAGAAAAAAAUCUGUUCAUCAGAACUUUAUAUUUCUUCUGUAGAUGAACUAAAGCUAAAUGAAUACAAGGUGGGAAGCCGAAGGUUUUUUUUCUCCAGCGUCAAACUCUAAUUUCAUGCUAAUCACUCAAUAGCCGUCCAAACAUCAAAUCUAUUUUAACUGGAAAGGUCAUUUUCAUCAAUAAUAAGCCAACUUUGUUAAUUUAUCUGUUUUUGCUGUUGCUGAUAGAUUUAGAUCUGUUUUGCCUGUUUUAUGCCUAUUGUUGCUGCUAUACCAAAGGUUAACCAAAUUUUAACCAGUCCGUCAUCAUUAUUUUGGAUAAAGAUACGAAACAAUUGACUAUUAUCUCAUUUUAUUUGCUGUUACACUUUUCAAAUUAUUUAGCAAAUAAACAUGAAAGGUAAAAGAGAAGCGAUCAGUUGAUACGAUAAAUGGAUAAAUUCACGAUAUUUCAGGCCGAUAUUGAUGAGAGUCACACAUAUACACUCUGUAGGAUUGGUGCAACUGUAAGAGGAUGAUAUUGAAGCGGAAAAAAAUGAAGAUAACCUGAAAUCAUGUGUCUUUAAUAUGCAGUUGAACCAUUUUGAAAUGGAUAAAGUUCAAAUGUUUAUCAAUUGAACAAAAGUUCUCUAAACGAUGAACCGUAGCUAAAUUUCCAAUUGAAUCCAAUAAUUUUUUCUACCUUCUGAUCCAGUACUGUUAAAGGAUGAAGAUAUGACAUGAGGAGAGGUAAUCAUGAAUUAUCAACGAUAAUCAAGAAAAAGAAAGACAAAGUUGAAAGUCAAAACCAAAUGGAUGAAAGGAAAAGCCAUUUUAGUCCAAAAAACUGUUGGAAACUGAAAAUUGAUUUCUGUAUGGCGCGACUGUAACUGAUUUGAAAAAGCAUCCAACUUCAUUGAUGAUCCAUGGAAGUGACAAUUUAAUCAUAUUGGAUACAAUCAUUGGAUUUGAAUCAAUUGGGACAAAAUUAAUGGUCAACUCAUUUCGCUUGGAUCAACUGAGAGACUCUUGAGAUAUCGAACAUUCCUGAUUAGCUGCUAAUCAUGACUCUUGUCGAUGAUUUAGCACUUAUUUACAUGAUAAAAGGCAAUUUACCAAGAUAUGUAUCAACCAAUUAAUCACAAUAAUCGAGUUAACCAUGAACUAAUUUUCUGUCUUUUCUUUCAGUCUCUUUUGUUGUCCAGUUUUUCAACCACUCAUUGGAUGUUGACUGUUAACCGGAUUAAAAUUGCUAAUUCCGUGAUUGAAUUGUAUGGACAAUCAAAUGUUGCUGGUUACAACAUAAAACUAUAAUGAUAAUAUCAAUAAUAAUAGUUUCAUUGAUCCAAACGUACGAUCAAAAUAAUACUCACAACCAACACACUAAAAGUAAAAUGGAAAGUUGAUUAAAGUCCCGAGGCAAUUUACAUUUGAUUUAA